GACGAACGCUGGCGGCGUGCUUAACACAUGCAAGUCGAACGGAAAGGCCCUGCUUGCAGGGUACUCGAGUGGCGAACGGGUGAGUAACACGUGGGUGAUCUGCCCUGCACUUCGGGAUAAGCCUGGGAAACUGGGUCUAAUACCGGAUAGGAGCCAUUUUUAGUGUGAUGGUUGGAAAGUUUUUUCGGUGUAGGAUGAGCUCGCGGCCUAUCAGCUUGUUGGUGGGGUAAUGGCCUACCAAGGCGGCGACGGGUAGCCGGCCUGAGAGGGUGGACGGCCACAUUGCGACUGAGAUACGGCCCAGACUCCUACGGGAGGCAGCAGUGGGGAAUAUUGCACAAUGGGCGCAAGCCUGAUGCAGCGACGCCGCGUGGGGGAUGACGGCCUUCGGGUUGUAAACUCCUUUCGCUAGGGACGAAGCUUUUUGUGACGGUACCUAGAUAAGAAGCACCGGCUAACUACGU
rnacentral:rRNA from 1 species